GCCAGCAGCUAUAUCACCUGCAACUCACAACUGACAUCCUGCUGAAGCUCAGCAGGUGUGAGCUUGGUUGGUACCUGGAUGAGAGACCUCCUGGGAAUAUCUAGGGUUGCUGCUGGAA
rnacentral:rRNA from 1 species